CGGGGAGCACCACAACAGGUGGAGCCUGCGGUUUAAUCGGACUCAACGCCGGGAAGCUCACCGGAUAAGACAGCGGAAUGAUAGCCGGGCUGAAGACUCUGCUUGACUAGCUGAGAGGAGGUGCAUGGCCGUCGUCAGUUCGUACUGUGAAGCAUCCUGUUAAGUCAGGCAACGAGCGAGACCCACGCCAACAGUUGCCAGCAUGUCCUCCGGGAUGGUGGGGACACUGUUGGGACCGCCUCUGCUAAAGAGGAGGAAGGAAUGGGCAACGGUAGGUCAGCAUGCCCCGAAUUAUCCGGGCUACACGCGGGCUACAAUGGUCAGGACAAUGGGCAUCAACACCGAAAGGUGAGGGCAAUCUCUUAAACCUGUCCUUAGUUCGGAUUGUGGGCUGCAACUCGCCCACAUGAAGCUGGAAUCCGUAGUAAUCGCGUUUCAAAAUAGCGCGGUGAAUAUGUCCCUGCUCCUU
rnacentral:rRNA from 1 species